rnacentral:rRNA from 1 species
GGAAUAUUGGACAAUGGGCGGAAGCCUGAUCCAGCCAUCCCGCGUGCAGGAUGACGGCCCUCUGGGUUGUAAACUGCUUUUAUAGAAGAAGAAACGUGACUGUUCACAGGCACCUGACGGUAUUUUAUGAAUAAGCACCGGCUAACUCCGUGCCAGCAGCCGCGGUAAUACGGAGGGUGCAAGCGUUAUCCGGAAUCACUGGGUUUAAAGGGUGCGUAGGCGGCUUGAUAAGUCAGGGGUGAAAGCUCACUGCUCAACAGUGGAAUUGCCUUUGAUACUGUCAGGCUAGAAUCGACACGAGGCAGGCGGAAUGUGACAUGUAGCGGUGAAAUGCAUAGAUAUGUCAUAGAACACCAAUUGCGAAGGCAGCUUGCCAGAGUCGUAUUGACGCUGAGGCACGAAAGCGUGGGGAGCGAAC